rnacentral:rRNA from 1 species
AUUGGAGGGCAAGUCUGGUGCCAGCAGCCGCGGUAAUUCCAGCUCCAAUAGCGUAUAUUAAAGUUGUUGCGGUUAAAAAGCUCGUAGUUCGAGCUCAGUUCCGGACUGGGGUGGGAGGUCACCGCCCGGUGCUUCCCCGUCAGGCUCCGAACAGCUUCCGUGAGUGGAAGCCAAGCCGGUUCUGCCGGGGUGCUCUUUACCGAGUGUCCCGCGCGGCCGGCCAGUUCACCUUGAAUAAAUGAGAGUGCUCAAAGCAGGCUACUCUGGAAUACAAUGCCCGAAUGUUACCUGCAUGGAAUGAUGGAAGAUGAUCUCGGUUCCAUUUUGUUGGUGGUGGGAGCCAGAGGUAAUGAUAAACAGGGACUGUCGGGGGCAUCCGUACUACGACGCGAGAGGUGAAAUUCAGUGACCGUCGUAGGACGAACAACAGCGAAAGCAUUUGCCAAGAAUGUCUUCGUUGAUCAAGAACGAAAGUUAGAGGAUCGAAGGCGAUCAGAUACCGCCCUAGUUCUAACCCUAAACGAUGCUGACUAGCAAUUCGCCGUCGUUAUUCCCAUGACGUGGCGAGACGCCCCCGGGAAACCUCAAGUCUUUGAGUUCCGGGGGUAGUAUGGUUGCAAAACUGAAACUUAAAGGAAUUGACGGAAGGGCACCACCAGGAGUGGAGCCUGCGGCUUAAUUUGACUCAACACGGGGAACCUCACCAGGCCCGGACACCAGAAGGAUUGACAGAUUAAGAGCUCUUUCUCGAUUU